UAGCUCAGACGGUUAGAGCACCUGACUCAUAAUCAGGUGGUCGCUGGUUCGAUCCCAGC
rnacentral:tRNA from 1 species